rnacentral:rRNA from 1 species
CAGUAGCCGCGGUAAUACGUAGGUGGCAAGCGUUGUCCGGAAUUAUUGGGCGUAAAGGGCUCGCAGGCGGUUUCUUAAGUCUGAUGUGAAAGCCCCCGGCUCAACCGGGGAGGGUCAUUGGAACCUGGGAAACUUGAGUGCAGAAGAGGAGAGUGGAAUUCCACGUGUAGCGGUGAAAUGCGUAGAGAUGUGGAGGAACACCAGUGGCGAAGGCGACUCUCUGGUCUGUAACUGACGCUGAGGAGCGAAAGCGUGGGGAGCGAACAGGAUUAGAUACCCCCGUAGUCCCUGUCUCUUAUAC